AUCGAUUUUCGAAAGAAAUACAUAUGUGGAGCAACAGUCGUGAAGCGUGACGAGUGUAAAAUGAUUAGUUUACGGCCGAAAAUCGAUUGUUGUUGGGUUUUAUGUUUACCUGACUCGACACCUUCGCGAAGUGGUAAAUCAACUUGUCGGUCCACCAGCAACCGGGCCCGUCAGUCCAUAAACUGAGCCCAAACUGCCAAAAGUUUGCUUCAGCAGUUACUUUCCGUGGCUGCCUAGUUGGAUUGAGCUUAUUCAUGAGUUAGUAUGGCCAGACAAGUUAAAAGAGUCGGUUGUAGCUCUGCAGUACCGGCAGCUGUAGGAGGCUUAAAAAUUAUUAAUUCAGGAAGUGUUUCUAUUAUUUAUUAAUUGGUUUGUUGGCAAAGCCGAUAUGUGGUUAAUAGGCAAUUUUGUAUGGUGGAGAACGACUAUAAUGGGCGUAGUGAAUUUUUGGACAUAAUCUAUUUUGGUGGUUCGCAGAAUGACAUGAAAAGAAAGCAACUCUCUAUCGGAGGAUAAGAAUUGCGAAGCAAUAAUCGAACCCUAUCGGAGCAAGAAAAAAUUCAAGACGAACUGUUAUAUUUUGAUUUAACUAAUUUUAAGCAAGUUCGUGUCCGGUUCUCCCCUCAGGUGGACAUCAAUGUCUGGUGUGCGUCCAUUACUGUCAAUAAUUUGAUGCGAGGAGAUCAGUUUCUUCCUACCCGCUCAGUACGUUAUGAGAGACGAUCAGCCAGUUGCACGCAAGAAACAUAAUUAGUAGCUCUGGUUAAGGCCACUGAGAUCCCAUUGAGAAUUAAAGCAAUUGUAUAAGAUGCUGAUGUAUUUGCUAAAUGCAUUGAAACUGAAUGAGAACGUGAGACACACUUCAGGAAUAAAUCGAAAGAUCCAAAUGUGUUGAUAAGGACCAGUUAAAAAAGGAUCAAAAGGACGGAGACUGACCCAUGACUGCCCAAGCAAUCGAAAUAUUGCACCGACCGUUUUCUAUCAGACGAUUUUAACAUAGCAUUUUCUCUCGCGACAUCAACGAGUUUAUCUUUCCAGCUUUCGU